AAGCCCCGCAAGGGGCAAGUAGAGUGGCAAACGGGUGAGUAACACGUGGGUGACCUGCCUUCGAGCGGGGGAUAACGUCCCGAAAGGGACGCUAAUACCGCAUAACAUCCUGCCUUUGAAGAGGUGGAGAUCAAAGCCGGGGAUCGCAGGACCCGGCACUUGAAGAGGGGCCCGCGCCUGAUUAGCUAGUUGGUGGGGUAACGGCUCACCAAGGCAACGAUCAGUAUCCGGCCUGAGAGGGCGGACGGACACACUGGGACUGAGACACGGCCCAGACUCCUACGGGAGGCAGCAGUGGGGAAUUGUUCGCAAUGGGCGAAAGCCUGACGACGCAACGCCGCGUGGAGGAUGAAUACUUUCGGG
rnacentral:rRNA from 1 species